rnacentral:rRNA from 14 species
CCUAAAGGUUAAACAGGGCCUGGCCUAGUUAGCACCUGGAUAGGAGACUGCAUGGUAAACUAUGGUAUAGUCAGGU